UCAAUUUUUUAAAUGCUGCAAUGGAUGAAUUUCUUGAAAAUUCAAAUUAACGAUGGGAAAAAGGCAUGAUGGAAGAAGAUUGUCAAAUCUUCAUUUUAGUUGCUUGAGAGAGUUGAAUUCAUAAUUUCAACCUUUUUUUUUUUUCUAUAUAAAUUAAUGUAGGAAGAGGCGUACCGUGUAUGUUUAGAGUAUUCAAUUUAAUCUAGCAACAAUCACGUAUUAGUGGCAUCUAUGGGAAAGUAACAGGAGUAUUAACUAAUAUGCAUACUCUGACCAUCAAAAUUCAAAAGGUAUGAUAGAAUGAUUUGAAUUUCUUCAUUUUAAUUUUAGACUUGGAUCCGAGAAGUUGAACUUGAACUUAAGUAUUCUUUAAUAGAAGACACUUAUUUUUACUGUCCCAAUUUGAUGAGAAUUUAAAUUAAUUGAAUCGUUAAAUUUUGAAUAUUGAAAUCCAAAUAGGUGUUUCUUUUCUUUUUUUUUUCUUUUUUUUGGAGGGAACAUAGGUGAUAGGAGAAUUGCUUUUGAAGAAUUUCUCAAAUUACAAAUAGUGCAACAAUGAAUCCACAACUUGUAAAGACGAUGACCCACAUUUGCUUUUACUUUAACUUUCUCUUCCCAAAUUGAUGAAAAAAAGCUCUUGAAUAUUUGAGGGGACAUUUUUGGAUAAUAUAUCCGAAUUGUCUUUCAUAAGAAAAUAGUUACAGCUCAUUGUUCUUAUCCACUUUCCUUAUGGAGUACCUGAAAUGGCAAAUUGUUUACUACCUAUAUAUAAUGGGGCCUCCAAUUUGGCAAUUGCCAAUUUUAUAAGUACGUGGCCUUGGCAUUUCUAUCUUCCCCCCGACAAACGUCUGAUAUUUGUACUGGUAUCAACUUUAGAGGAUUCAAUGUGCUUGCUUAUUAGAAUUUUACUGUAAGGUGCAAAAAGCAUGCUCAAAAUAUAUUGUGAGAACGUUGGAAAGCGCGCAUGGAUACAAACUAGUGUUGAAUUGAAUGUUAGUCAUAGCUAUUUAUGUAUGAAGUUACUCAAGUCCUAACGUCAAAAUACAAUAGUUUCAUUAUUUUUAAAGUUAAUAUGUAUAAUAUUUUUUACAUAUAAAUUUAUUUUGUUCGAUUCAAUGUC